GUGUUUGCUUCAGCAGCACAUAUACUAAAAUUUGAACCAUAUAGAGAAGAUUGACAUGGCCCCUGUGCAAGGAUGACAUGCAAAUUUGUGAAGCAUUACAUAUUUUU
rnacentral:snRNA from 1 species